GAGUUUGAUCAUGGCUCAGGACGAACGCUGGCGGCGUGCCUAAUACAUGCAAGUAGAACGCUGAAGAGAGGAGCUUGCUCUUCUUGGAUGAGUUGCGAACGGGUGAGUAACGCGUAGGUAACCUGCCUUGUAGCGGGGGAUAACUAUUGGAAACGAUAGCUAAUACCGCAUAACAAUAGGUGACACAUGUCAUUUAUUUGAAAGGGGCAAUUGCUCCACUACAAGAUGGACCUGCGUUGUAUUAGCUAGUAGGUGAGGUAACGGCUCACCUAGGCGACGAUACAUAGCCGACCUGAGAGGGUGAUCGGCCAUACUGGGACUGAGACACGGCCCAGACUCCUACGGGAGGCAGCAGUAGGGAAUCUUCGGCAAUGGGGGCAACCCUGACCGAGCAACGCCGCGUGAGUGAAGAAGGUUUUCGGAUCGUAAAGCUCUGUUGUAAGUCAAGAACGAGUGUGAGAGUGGAAAGUUCACACUGUGACGGUAGCUUACCAGAAAGGGACGGCUAACUACGUGCCAGCAGCCGCGGUAAUACGUAGGUCCCGAGCGUUGUCCGGAUUUAUUGGGCGUAAAGCGAGCGCAGGCGGUUUGAUAAGUCUGAAGUUAAAGGCUGUGGCUCAACCAUAGUUCGCUUUGGAAACUGUCAAACUUGAGUGCAGAAGGGGAGAGUGGAAUUCCAUGUGUAGCGGUGAAAUGCGUAGAUAUAUGGAGGAACACCGGUGGCGAAAGCGGCUCUCUGGUCUGUAACUGACGCUGAGGCUCGAAAGCGUGGGGAGCGAACAGGAUUAGAUACCCUGGUAGUCCACGCCGUAAACGAUGAGUGCUAGGUGUUGGAUCCUUUCCGGGAUUCAGUGCCGCAGCUAACGCAUUAAGCACUCCGCCUGGGGAGUACGACCGCAAGGUUGAAACUCAAAGGAAUUGACGGGGGCCCGCACAAGCGGUGGAGCAUGUGGUUUAAUUCGAAGCAACGCGAAGAACCUUACCAGGUCUUGACAUCCCGAUGCUAUUUCUAGAGAUAGAAAGUUACUUCGGUACAUCGGUGACAGGUGGUGCAUGGUUGUCGUCAGCUCGUGUCGUGAGAUGUUGGGUUAAGUCCCGCAACGAGCGCAACCCCUAUUGUUAGUUGCCAUCAUUCAGUUGGGCACUCUAGCGAGACUGCCGGUAAUAAACCGGAGGAAGGUGGGGAUGACGUCAAAUCAUCAUGCCCCUUAUGACCUGGGCUACACACGUGCUACAAUGGUUGGUACAACGAGUUGCGAGUCGGUGACGGCAAGCUAAUCUCUUAAAGCCAAUCUCAGUUCGGAUUGUAGGCUGCAACUCGCCUACAUGAAGUCGGAAUCGCUAGUAAUCGCGGAUCAGCACGCCGCGAUGAAUACGUUCCCGGGCCUUGUACACACCGCCCGUC
rnacentral:rRNA from 1 species